rnacentral:sRNA from 1 species
AUGUACCCACGUACAUUCCGGUUCCGAGCACCGUCCGCGCCCACCUGACGGCUGCUCGCUACGGUUUGUUAGCC